CUUAAAUAUUCUAACAAAUUAUUUGUUUCUCGUAUAGGAAAAUUACAAAUAGAUUAAACUGAGCAACGACCCCAAAGAGAGGAUAUAAACGAUAACAGUCCACAUCUGUUGAUGAUAUUAUUGCUAGUAAGAUGAAGGCUACAUCAGAAUUCGGGAGAAGAAUUUCUCCUGUUUGGAACCAUUAUACCUUCAUCAAGCCUCCCGAAGGUGGUCUUUAUGCCCAAUAGUUUUGAUGCCAAUUUAGCUGCUUCAAGGACUGAAUAUUUGGAUGUUGAUGUCUACAUUAAUUUGCCCCUUGUUCCCCGUAAUGAAGAAGCUGAGUUUGACAUUUUAGAGUAUUAUAAAUCACAAAGUGCUUCUUAUCCGGUACUUUUUCGCAUGGUGAGAAAUAUAUUGGUCAUUCCAAUUACUCCAAUUGCUUUUGAAUCUUCAUUUAACAUGUGUGGUCGAUUUUUGAACAAGUUGAAAGCGAAACUCUUACCUAAAAAUAUUGAAAUUUUUGUAAAAACUUGAAAUUGGUUGUAUGAUUUUAAACCGGAAGAAAGGGAUGAAGAAUAUCUUGAUGUGGU